UACGGAGGAUGCAAGCGUUAUCCGGAAUGAUUGGGCGUAAAGCGUCCGCAGGUGGCAAUGUAAGUCUGCUGUCAAAGUGUCUGGCUCAACCAGAUAAAGGCAGUGGAAACUACAUAGCUAGAGUAAGGUAGGGGUAGAGGGAAUUCCUGGUGUAGCGGUGAAAUGCGUAGAGAUCAGGAAGAACACCGGUGGCGAAAGCGUUCUGCUAGACCUGUACUGACACUGAGGGACGAAAGCUAGGGGAGCGAAUGGG
rnacentral:rRNA from 1 species